CAGCAGCCGCGGUAAUUCGUAGGGUGCUAGGGUUGUCCGGAUUUACUGGGUGUAAAGGGUGCUCAGGUGGGUUUGUAAGUCAGAGGUGAAAUCCCAAAGCUUAACUUUGGAGCUGCCUUUGAUACUGCAAGUCUAGAGUUUGAGAGAGGGCAAUGGAAUAUCUGGUGUAGCAGUGAAAUGCGUAGAUAUCAGAUAGAACACCAAUGGCGAAGGCAGUUGCCUGGCUCAUAACUGACGCUAAAGAACGAAAGUGUGGGGAGCAAACAGGAUUAGAUACCCUGGUAGUCCACACCCUAAACGAUGAAUACUAGAUGUUGGUCCUUUUUAGGAUCAGUAUCCAAGCUAACGCAUUAAGUAUUCCACCUGGGAAGUACAAUCGCAAGGUUGAAACUCAAAGGAAUUGACGG
rnacentral:rRNA from 1 species